rnacentral:rRNA from 1 species
UUCCAGACUCCUACGGGAGGCAGCAGUGGGGGAUAUUGCACAAUGGGGGGAACCCUGAUGCAGCGACGCCGCGUGGGUGAAGGAGUAUUUCGGUAUGUAAAGCCCUAUCGGCAGGGAAGAAGCAAGACGGUACCUGACUAAGAAGCCCCGGCUAACUACGUGCCAGCAGCCGCGGUAAUACGUAGGGGGCAAGCGUUAUCCGGAUUUACUGGGUGUAAAGGGGGCGCAGACGGCGAUGCAAGCCAGGAGUGAAAGCCCGGGGCCCAACCCCGGGACUGCUCUGGAAACUGCGGCGCUGGAGUACGGGAGGGGCAGGCGGAAUUCCUAGUGUAGCGGUGAAAUGCGUAGAUAUUAGGAGGAACACCGGCGGCGAAGGCGGCCUGCUGGACCGUAACUGACGUUGAGGCUCGAAAGCGUGGGGAGCAAACAGGAUUAGAUACCCCAGUAC